rnacentral:rRNA from 1 species
UACGGAGGGUGCGAGCGUUGUCCGGAAUCAUUGGGCGUAAAGCGCACGUAGGCGGCUUUGCAAGUCGGACGUGAAAUCCCUCAGCUCAACUGAGGACGUGCAUCCGAAACUGCAAGGCUUGAGUACUGAAGAGGAUCGCGGAAUUCCCGGUGUAGAGGUGAAAUUCGUAGAUAUCGGGAGGAACACCAGUGGCGAAGGCGGCGAUCUGGGCAGAUACUGACGCUGAGGUGCGAAAACG